rnacentral:lncRNA from 1 species
GGCAGAAUCAGUACAGCGGCGGACAAAAUGCCUUCAAUACAUUUGAACUGGUCGGAUUAGACCCCAGGACAGCUUGGCCACAGAGUAUUUAAUACACAUUCACACACACACACACACACACAGACAGCUUAUGUUUCCCGAACAGGACUACAUGACAACACAGUAAACAUCGACAUUCAAUUGAAGGAUUUCUACGAUUCAAUCAAGUCGAGUAAUUUUCCAGACCAACGCCAAUGUCAGCUGACUUGAGGAAGAUGUUAAAUUUUCUCGUGAACAAUCACCAAACUAUUAAUUAUUGACAAUGAAUUUCUCAAGAGACAAUUUUUUUCUUUAAAUAUAUUGCCUUGAUCAAUUCAACUCGGGUGUUUCACGGAUAUCUUUCCAAAUAUACGAAAACAUUGAAAACAAAAAACGUAGCAAAGCAAUAAACGAUAUUCUCUUUUAAUCAAGAGAAAUUUUUCAU